UUUAGUUUCUUUGUAUCUAUAAGAAUAAUUUUUAUUUUAGGUUACUUCAAAACUGCUGGAGUUUGGAUUUCAUAUGUUUUUUCAGGCGAUUUAUUUGUUAGAUUUUAUGGAUAUUUAGGUAUGAAUUGGCAGAAGAUUGUGCAGACGAUGAUGAAGCAAAGUAGCUGAUUUAUAAUAAGUGACUUUUUUUUUGUUCUUUAUUGUACUAUAGAUUCGAAUUUAUCAUUAUAAUUUUUUUUUUAAUUUUUUUGUGCAGUUAUAUGGUCCGGUUUUUUUCAAAGUGUAUGAAAAUCAUUUGAAUGCUGAGAACCUAUUAUAUUCGCGAAGUCCAGGCGAUGCUGCUUUACAUGAUACAAGAGAUCGACACCUUCAUCCAUAUGGAGUGCUAAUAUACAGAUUUUCUGGGAUUUUUUGUUUUUGAAUGGAAGUUAGCAUGAGGUUUUCACAUGACAUGGAUGAUGAGUAGAGAAACUCAUCUAGAGAAUGAACCUACCAAGACAACGCCUGAUUUUACUUUAAAGGAGCUGAGAUCAGCAUGUCACAACAGUCUCACAAGCAAAUGCCCAAACUGUAUACAUCACAGUAGGCAAGUUUCAAUCUUUUUAGCUUCCAAUUAAUAUUUCGUGCUGAUAUUUGAUUGCAUUGUGUUUGGGUGUUUGGUUUCGGGAUUUCUCAAGUUGAAUUGCAACGUGGGUAAUGAGAAAAAAAAUGGAUUUGGUCUCUGGUUACAAGGUGACUUCACCUCUCACUCUCUCUAAAACUCAAUUUUGAAGUAGUUGUCCAUAUAUAUAUAUUUUUUUUUGGAUCACCAUCACCAUGGGUCAUCUGAAUAUCAGCCUUUUAUUUUGUCUUAUAGUUUUAUCAUCGUACAUCGUUGGUUGAUUGUUUUUGUUUUCUGUGUAAGGUACUCUCUGCAAUUUAUUGCAAAAUAAUGUCAAUUUUUGCUUCUUUGGAAACAACUAGGAGCCAAUCUGGUAUCCAAACUUUAUGUUUGCUGCAUGUAGCACUUGAAAAGAUUAAGAAUAUUCUCUAGCAUUGCUCAGAAUGUAGUCAACUUUAUUUGAUAGGUAUUCCCUCAAUUUGCAUUUGUAAUUUAUGCAGUAGUGCUACUUCCAACUUUUCAAGUCAAAAAUUAUUUCCCCCUCUACUCUGGAGGAAUAAAUUUCUGUUUUGGUGUUUAAAUUUGUUUCAUUCAUGAUGAGUUUGUAUAUAAAUUAUACUGUGUCUAUAAUGGGCAAAUUAUUUGUUAUCAUUUAGGCUACAAUGGAAUCGCAAAUUUGUCAAGUAUAUUUUAGAUUCUUGGUUGCAUAUUCACCUACUCACCACUAUUGUUUUCUGUCUAUUGAUUGGAUGGACUUUUAUAAUUUCCAAACCUACAGUUGCAAUGCUUUUGACAUGUUAAAUUGGAGUUGCAUCUCUCUUUUUUUGUUCAUGAAAUUCAUUAUCUUACUAGCUUGGGAAUUAACUAAUACAUUUUAUUCGCUUGCGUGAUGUCAAUGGGUCUUGAAAUUGUUGCUGCAAGCUUUAAUUCAUCAGUAUCUAGAUAAUUGUACCUAUUUGUUGGUCGAAUGCUGAUGUGAGUAAUAAUUUUAAAUUUUACAUCUUGAAGAUUAAUCAUAAGUUGUGUUUAAUCUGUGAUGUUUAUGAUGCCUUUAGAUUUCCACAUUUGUUGGUUUUGUUUAUGUAGUUUCAUGGGUGAUACGAUUACAGAGUUAUUAUAGGAAGUUGCUGAAUUUCAUGCGCACAAUUAAGGUUGGAUUCUUUCUCACACACACUCCCAUUUUCUUGAUUGUUGACCGGUUUGUGAGUAUGGUUAUUUCUAUAUCAGUUUGUUGAAAUUGGCAAACGUGGCAAGGUUAAGUAUGAGCUCGACAAGAAAACUGGCCUUAUAGUAGUAAGAUUCUUCUUUUUCUUCACUUACAGGUUGCAGUCUAAUUUUUGUUGAAAUGCAACUUAAUUGAUGAUUAUCCUACUAGAUGAAUUAUAACUGAAUUGAUUUUAAAUUUUGUUUCAGCAACUUAGUUGAUAUGGAAAUUGAACUUUUUUAAAUCCUAUUAUAUUCUGUUAUAUUACACUAUUGCGUCUGGACUAGCAAUUUUCAUACGAUGUCACCUAUAAAGUUUGUUGCUUUAUCAUGUCAUGUAUUUUAUGUUGGAGUUUGUAUUCAAUCACCAAAAGUAGAAAUGAUUGCUUCUUCAAGCCUAUGUUCGAUAAAGAUCGGGGGCAGAAUUAUUAUAGCUUGUCU